GGGGCCUGUUGGUCCCCUUGAGCUAAUGGCUGCCUGGAGGGGUGCGGACUAAACUGAGCUCCCUUAAGAAAAAGGAAGAGCCCCAUUCCAGGGCCCUUCAUUGUGGCUGACAUUGACACUGAGCUCUGACAGCACAGGAACCUGGCUGGGAGCCCUUGAGUCACGCGGCAUGUGUCACUUCGGUGCAUGGACCAGAGGUUGGUCUGGCCACCUUCCGCCUCCUUCUCAGGAGGGUUGCCCUGCUGCCUUCUGCCUCUGGGGCUUCCUCUCAGCCUGGGAAGGCCAAGGACCAGGACACACUGCUGGGCGCGGGGCUCACUGGAGGCAGUGGAUUUGGCACACCAGUGCUUAGCCUUGGGAGGGGAGACAUGGACCACAUCCUGGGCAGAGCAGAAGGAUGGAAGCCAGGCUCCCUGAUGGCACCUGAGCCUUCUGAUCAGCUUGGGUGUCACCUCCUCUGCAUUUCUAGCACCUGGUCUACUCAGCCCUGGUGUCCCUCUGUCAUCAGAUGCCACUGAGGCAGGAAGAUCUGAGUUAGAAGGAGUCAUGAGGCCACCUGUCACAUCCAGGCAAGGACCCCAUUUAUACCCUAGCUGUGGCAGUCCCUUCUCUCCAGCCAUCCUUAGGCUGGAACUUGACAUCCUCCUGCCUCAGCCUCCCAGAGUGCUGGGAUUACAAGCAUGUGUGCCACCAUGCCCGGCAACUUCUCCUGUUUUAAUCUGCCAAGCUUCCCCCUUUUGUAAUUCUCCCUUUUUGUAAUUUGCAUUCUGGUUCUGGAGGGGAGGGGUGACCAAGUAACCCACCCUCUGGCCAUAGAGAUGCCAUCUGACUUUGGUCUGACCAGUCACAGUCCUCCAUUCCCUGGCACAGUGAUUGGCCCAGUGGCGGGACUGUAACACAGACUGGGCCAGUCAGAAUCUUUCCCUGGUCUUUAUUAUGUUAGCUAAUGGCCCUCGUCAGGUAGGAAGGCAGCACGUGGAGAGGAGAGUCAUCCUGAGAGGACAGGAGCUGGGCCCACUGUCCCUCUGCAUAGAGCCGUCCUGAGGGCUCCACACUGCUUCCCCAGCUGUUGGGGGGCUUUAGUGCCCUUGCCCAGCAACAAGGUCUCUGCAGUUGUCCUGAGCCUCAGGGACCAGCCUGGCCCCCGACUUUGUCUCCUCUCCCCUGGAGAUGGCAGAGGUCUGGAACAUGACUGGCUGUAGGAAGAGCAGGCUGCUUAGUUUCCCCAAGCUGGCACCUGUGGUCAGAAAGGUGGCAUCCUGAGGGCUCUGUGUGCUCUGGGUGCCAGAAUAGGGGAUGCCCCCGAAUAUGGGGGCCAAUGGAGAUUAGGGAAGAAGUGGGUCUGACCCCCCUCGCACACUGGCUCCUGGCUCAGUGCCUUGCUGUCCACGCAACGCUUCCCCGGCUUGGCCUCACCCCAGCCCUGUCUCUCCAUGCUGGGAAUGCCCAGCUCGGCAAGGACAGCUAGGUGAGGGUGGCCCUCAGCCUCCUGGGCACAGCACGGCAGACGACUGUGCCAACAUCAGAGGCACCAGAGGCACCUUAUGGCCCCAGGGGUCCACAGGAAGCUAAGGCCCAGAGAGUGGCAGGCCCACCCCACGGAAAAGCAGGAUGGGGCCCACCUGUAGGAGAGGGGAGGGGUUCCUGGUUUUCCCUGGAGGCUGCGCGUGAGC
ensembl:lncRNA